CGAACGGGUGAGUAAUGUCUGGGAAACUGCCUGAUGGAGGGGGAUAACUACUGGAAACGGUAGCUAAUACCGCAUAACGUCGCAAGACCAAAGAGGGGGACCUUCGGGCCUCUUGCCAUCAGAUGUGCCCAGAUGGGAUUAGCUAGUAGGUGGGGUAACGGCUCACCUAGGCGACGAUCCCUAGCUGGUCUGAGAGGAUGACCAGCCACACUGGAACUGAGACACGGUCCAG
rnacentral:rRNA from 1 species